CCGUCCUUUUUUUGUGAAAUCCCUAUUUAGUGCGAACUAUGUAGGUCAGUCGAAACUGGGACUGUCACGUUGCACUGAGCAAGUGUCUCGAGAGCGUUUUUCUCCGUAAAUCUUGCAUUUCAGUCAAAAAAAUUAAAUGUUCAGCUUUUUCAAGUGUUUAUUCAUAGUAUACAAUGUGUCACUGUCAUAGUGAGAGUUGUUAUGGAAAAUAAUACGUGAAAAAACGACAUAGGUGCUGCAGAUCGACCAUAACAUUUUUUUUUAGAAUGGAAAAAUCUGCCGUUUGCCUUUCAAGUUACGUAGCUUUGGGUUUGCAGACUAAAAGUUUUAGUGAAAUGUUGACAGCAUACCUAUCCCUGCCUAAGCUAUCGCAUGAGAAUGGACUUGAUGGCAUGAAAUGAUGAAAAGAUACCAGUUAGACAAAGCAGAAAAUAAUUAAAUUCCCGAAUUUCAUAUCAGCUGACAAUAAGGGAAGAGGUGUUCUAGUCAAGACCAGGAAAAAUAUAUUUCCAUGCGAUUUUGUGUGAUGGUGCUGUUGAUGCAGGUGUGACUGAACAAGAGAUGGUGUUUUGUAGAGUCUUGGAUAUUGUUUACCCUAGAAACCUUUCUCAUAGCAAACAAGUUCUGGAACAAUACUUUCUUCAAGUAUUAAACAGGAUGGGCUUUGACCCAAAAGACUUCCAUUGAGAGUGGCCUGCCUUUAAAGAGCACACAGGUGGCAUGUUUUUAGUGAAUAAAAGUAAAGAUAUGUGUACUGAUUUGUUUCAAGGCAAGGAGAACAGACAAAGAUUAGAAUACAUACAAUAAUGCUAAUUUAAAUUGCCUUGUUCAGCCUGUCCACUUCUCAGUUGGAAAGAGGAUACAGUGCUCUCAAAAGAAUUGAAUCUGACUGGAGGUCGUUUGGGGAAUAUUAUGCUUAAGUUAACAAAAUUUUGACAGCAGUUUUAUAGGGGCCAAGUUUUGAUGAUCAUUUAUUCAAUGAUUCUAUCAACCGCUGGGUGGCAGGGUGGCAAUCUGGGAAGACGGUCCAAUUUUGAACUUAAAUUGAUUUAGUUUUCUGAUUGUCAUAUCCAGCAGGUAAAUGAACUGGCCACUGAAGAUUCUAAGGAAAUAAAAAAAAAUUGAAACAUACUCGUAUACUGAAGUUUUCUU